UUAUGGAUUUCAUCUCUUAUUGAACAACACAGCAGUGAACUGUGCAGGACUCCUGCAUUGGCCAUAUCUGUAAAUAAGAUUGGAAAUGUGCUCUGCCAAAUCCAGGCUUUCAUCUCAAAGCAAAAGCCAAGACGACAGAUGCUGAUUGUUGGAUGACAUGAUUAAUUACUUUAAAGUUGUUUAAUGAAUGGGAAAACCAGUUAUUCCACUGCUACAUUAUGUCCUGUUUCUCUUCUAUCAUUCAACUUUCUUUAUGUUGUAAUCACUGUAUCCUGUUUGGAGUUGAAAUGAACUAAACACACAGUACCAAAGUAGAAUUUAACUUAUAGAAUGGGGAAAUGUUAUUUUACAAGCACUAUAAAUAUCUCAGAUGUCCAAGCAAUUAAUAUGUAAAGAACUGUAUAAUAAUAACUUUUUGGUUUGAAAUGAGCAGAGAAGGAUGUGUGACUGCAUAUAGAUUUAAUGAACAUAUGUCACUCCAUUUUCUUUCUUGGAGCACAGCAUAUCACAUUUUAAACAAGCUUAUCUUCACAAUCAUGUAUACUUUUUUAGAUUUGUUUUUUAGAUCUUCAACGGUGCUGUAUGACAGGUAUAGAGAAUGCUUGCUUAAUCUUAAUUUAAAUUGUCAUCCUCAUUAGAAUCAUGUGCAUAGACAAUUGAAGUAUGAGUUCUAGCUGCACCAAUUAAAGCCAUAUAACCUGGAUGACAACUUCCUAUUGAAACAAAUGUUUUCUGAAAGUGAAAAUGUAAUAUUUGAAUGAUGAGGCCAGGGUUGGAUUGCUGAAUAAUACAUGUAUGUAUGCUAAUUUCUGUGUCAGGCUGCAAAACCAUUAAACAGAGUACAACAAUCUA